rnacentral:rRNA from 1 species
CCUACGGGAGGCAGCAGUAGGGAAUCUUCCGCAAUGGACGCAAGUCUGACGGAGCAACGCCGCGUGAGUGAUGAAGGUUUUCGGAUCGUAAAACUCUGUUGUUAGGGAAGAACAAGUGCCGUUCGAAAGGGCGGCACCUUGACGGUACCUAACGAGAAAGCCACGGCUAACUACGUGCCAGCAGCCGCGGUAAU